UGGGGAAUAUUGCACAAUGGGCGCAAGCCUGAUGUAGCCAUGCCGCGUGUAUGAAGAAGGCCUUCGGGUUGUAAAGUACUUUCAGCGAGGAGGAAGGCGGUAAGGUUAAUAACCUUAUCGAUUGACGUUACUCGCAGAAGAAGCACCGGCUAACUCCGUGCCAGCAGCCGCGGUAAUACGGAGGGUGCAAGCGUUAAUCGGAAUUACUGGGCGUAAAGCGCACGCAGGCGGUCUGUCAAGUCGGAUGUGAAAUCCCCGGGCUCAACCUGGGAACUGCAUUCGAAACUGGCAGGCUAGAGUCUUGUAGAGGGGGGUAGAAUUCCAGGUGUAGCGGUGAAAUGCGUAGAGAUCUGGAGGAAUACCGGUGGCGAAGGCGGCCCCCUGGACAAAGACUGACGCUCAGGUGCGAAAGCGUGGGGAGCAAACA
rnacentral:rRNA from 1 species